GAAAGAUAGAGGGCAGAGCUCAUGGAUAGCAGGAGGGGUUCCCAGAGGCAGGAUAUGAUGGAAUGGCUACUCUUGGGGCUGUUUAAGGACAUAGGACAGAAACAGGGGUGAGGUAUGGGGAUGGGGAUGAGCUGAUCAGUCCAGUUGGCCCAAUCACGAGGUGCCCAGGUGUCUCCACUCAGUUUCAGUCAAGUCCCCCUGUACAUCUUCCAGUUAAGGGUGAGCGAUGACAAGCGACCAGGACCCAGAACCCUCUCCUGCCAUUCUGGCCUUCAACAAGGACAUUCACUGAACUGCUACCUUGGGAGCCUGAGCAGCUGAUGAAUUCUCUGAGAACAUUUCCCAUUUCCCUUCCUGGGUGCACUGGAGAGUGACUCAACAAACGUCUGCUAUGGUAAGGAAUUACCGGAUGGAUGGAUGUCAGAGAGAUUCAAGGCCAGAACGUGGAGCAUCGUGAGAGUAAAUAGAAUCGAGGCAGUUGGAACAACUUGAUAUAGAGUCGUGGACAUGACCAGGUUCAUGGCAUGACAGGGUUUCGGUUCAUAGGGAAGUUAGAAGGAAUGAAAACAGAGUAUGUGCAUGAACAACCUGAGCAGCCCUACUACUGAACAUCUCACAUUGGAUAACUCUGUCUUGGGAAUAUUCCUUUACAACUCCCAGAAUUCACUGGGGGAAGAAUUGGAAUGAAAGGCGAAGAACCAGUCAUUAUUCAGAAGCUAAAUUCAUCUAGAAGAUAAAAGGUGGCUAUGGGAUCUUUGGCAGUCCGUCAGUCAAGAACUGGAAUUUGAAUUCAUCAUCUGAAUCCGGGGCAAUUUCGUGUCAACCAUCCCAGGGAGACAGCACCUCUGACCUUGUUCAUCCCCCGCUGGAAGAGCCUUUCAGGUCCCCGAUUGCCUGCAGUAUAGAAUCCAAUUCUGUGUUAAGGAAUCCUGACCAUUUUCUGACGGAGUCUUCUCUAACGGUUGCCAGCAAUUUCCGCCCUACCUGUGGAUUUGUACAUGUUCGGAUGUAUGCCCAAAAUGUCGUUUCUCCUCUGGUAUUCCUUGAAGAUUUUGGAGCAACUUUUCAAACCAUCAUUCAUAGACCUCUUCAAAGCCUCAAUGGGUCUUUCUGCGCUCUACCCCUCAAAUGAAUCACAUGCCGGUAACCCAGCACUACAUCCCUCUGCUCCCACUACUCUAUGGAACAAGGCAAGCUGUGUACAUUUGGUUCCUUUCUGUAUUCCCAACUGGGUUACCAUCUCUUUGAUGGGAAGAGUGGAGUCUUUUUCUCUCUCUGCUCGCAGCAAACGAUUGAUACAGAGAUUCACACAAGGAAGCUUGUUAAACUGAACCGCUGAACUGAAGUUAGGGGGAGCAGGAGGGUCCUAGCAGAGUAAACCUUGACAUGUGUGCGAGACCAAACACUUCAUUGUGAGGAAAAUAACAAUUCCGUUGUGCCAU